rnacentral:ncRNA from 2 species
CAAUUAAAUAGGCAAAAUUAAGGAAACUUAAUGACGCAAAGCUAUAGGGGCUAAGGUUAAAACUACGCCAGCCAGUUGCAUAA